rnacentral:rRNA from 1 species
UACGUAGGGUGCAAGCGUUAAUCGGAAUUACUGGGCGUAAAGCGUGCGCAGGCGGCUAUGCAAGACAGAUGUGAAAUCCCCGGGCUCAACCUGGGAACUGCAUUUGUGACUGCAUGGCUAGAGUACGGCAGAGGGGGAUGGAAUUCCGCGUGUAGCAGUGAAAUGCGUAGAUAUGCGGAGGAACACCGAUGGCGAAGGCAAUCCCCUGGACCUGUACUGACGCUCAUGCACGAAAGCGUGGGGAGCAAACAGG